UAGAGGAAGUAGGUCACUGGGGUUUACAGUUGGUCCUUGGUGAGUGGCACUUUCUCUCUGCUUCCUGGUAGCUGCGUCCCGAGUCCCUUUCCUCUGCCUUGCCCUUGCACCAUGAUGUUCUGCCUCACCUCGGGCCCAGAGCAAUGGAGUCGGCUGACAGUGGACUGAACCUCUGAAACCUUGAGCCAAGACAAAUAUUCUCCUCCUUUAAGUUGUUCCAGUCAGGUCUUUGGGUCACAGUGGUGCAAACCCCGACUGAAAAAGAAGUGAACUCGCGCACCUACCAGGGACCCGGGACCUGUGCUGUGCAGAUGGUUCUUCCCGAGGACACAGACCUAGCAGCGCUUUCCCUGGGGGUUUCAAAGUGCAGCUGUGUGAGAGUGUUUCCUUUCUUGUUUGAUUCUGGAGCUGAAGGUCAAGAGCUCAGAGCUGCCCAUGUUCCAACCUGUGAAGAUAAAGAGUCAACUCGGAGACAAGCAGACGCAAGAUACCAGAAUGGAGAAACAGGCCCAGGAAUGGACCCCUGACCCAGGGCAGUGUCAUGCGGGCACUUGGUGAAGGGCGCCCUCUUUCUGUAGGGCUUCCUAGGUGCUGCUGGACACCCUGACCACCGCUGAGGGAGACCCUGUCACACGCAGAA